rnacentral:rRNA from 1 species
AUUGAACGCUGGCGGCAGGCCUAACACAUGCAAGUCGGACGGUAGCACAGAGGAGCUUGCUCUUCGGGUGACGAGUGGCGGACGGGUGAGUAAUGUCUGGGGAUCUGCCCGAUAGAGGGGGAUAACCACUGGAAACGGUGGCUAAUACCGCAUAACGUCGCAAGACCAAAGAGGGGGACCUUCGGGCCUCUCACUAUCGGAUGAACCCAGAUGGGAUUAGCUAGUAGGCGGGGUAACGGCCCACCUAGGCGACGAUCCCUAGCUGGUCUGAGAGGAUGACCAGCCACACUGGAACUGAGACACGGUCCAGACUCCUACGGGAGGCAGCAGUGGGGAAUAUUGCACAAUGGGCGCAAGCCUGAUGCAGCCAUGCCGCGUGUAUGAAGAAGGCCUUCGGGUUGUAAAGUACUUUCAGCGGGGAGGAAGGCGAUGUGGUUAAUAACCGCAUCGAUUGACGUUACCCGCAGAAGAAGCACCGGCUAACUCCGUGCCAGCCGCCGCGGUAA